CAGUCGCCACGGUAAUACGUAGGUGGCAAGCGUUGUCCGGAAUUAUUGGGCGUAAAGCGCGCGCAGGCGGAUAGGUCAGUCUGUCUUAAAAGUUCGGGGCUUAACCCCGUGAUGAGAUGGAAACUGCCAAUCUAGAGUAUCGGAGAGGAAAGUGGAAUUCCUAGUGUAGCGGUGAAAUGCGUAGAUAUUAGGAAGAACACCAGUGGCGAAGGCGACUUUCUGGACGAAAACUGACGCUGAGGCGCGAAAGCCAGGGGAGCGAACGGGAUUAGAUACCCGCGUAGUCCCUGUCUCUUAUACC
rnacentral:rRNA from 1 species